UACGGGAGGCAGCAGUGGGGAAUAUUGCACAAUGGGCGCAAGCCUGAUGCAGCCAUGCCGCGUGUAUGAAGAAGGCCUUCGGGUUGUAAAGUACUUUCAGUCGUGAGGAAGGUGUUAAGGUUAAUAACCUUAGCAAUUGACGUUAGCGACAGAAGAAGCACCGGCUAACUCCGUGCCAGCAGCCGCGGUAAUACGGAGGGUGCGAGCGUUAAUCGGAAUUACUGGGCGUAAAGGGCACGCAGGCGGUUAAUUAAGUUGGAUGUGAAAUCCCCGGGCUUAACCUGGGAAUGGCAUUCAAGACUGGUUAGCUAGAGUCUUGUAGAGGGGGUAGAAUUCCAUGUGUAGCGGUGAAAUGCGUAGAGAUGUGGAGGAAUACCGGUGGCGAAGGCGGCCCCUGGGACAAAGACUGACGCUCAUGUGCGAAAGCGUGGGGAGCAAACGAGGAUUUAGA
rnacentral:rRNA from 1 species